CUGUGUUCUUAUUUGUUUCCAAACCAGCCCCAAUAAAGCAGAAUUCAUCAGAGCCAAGUAUCAGAUGUUAGCGUUCGUCCACCGAUUGCCCUGCCGCGAGGACGACAGCGUGACGGCCAAAGAUCUCAGUAAGGUGGGCGCGCUCUGCCUUCUGUGGGGCCGUGAGAUGGGCCGCUUCCCUUAAAGCCAUGUCAGGAGGAAGAAGCAGCCUUUUGCAAGUGCCUUUGACUAACUGACCUUUCUCCCUUACACAGCAUUCACUCCUCUCAGACACACUGGACAAAAGGAAAACACGCUUCUAAGAAACUGUAUUUUUUUCCCCUUUUAUUUUCAUUUUCAUUUAAUUGAUUAAUUAAUUUGUACUUUUUCGGUACAGUUUUCACAUAGAUUUUGAUAAGUUCUUUACUUGAGAAUAAUAGCCAUUUCAAAGAAGGUUUUCUAGAGAACCUAGCAUCUGAAAUAGAGCAGAGGAAGGAGGCUGACUGCUUCAGAUGUCCAGGUUCAAGGCUGGAGGGCAAAGUGCACCUAGAGCUGUAGCACAGCCGUGUCUGUUACACCGCGAGCGGUGCCUUCUUGUGGGCCUUGGCUGUUUCUACGAGAUGCCGUAAAAAUGCACAUCACAGUUUUUUGAGCGGUGCUUUGAACUAGAUGCUCACUCAAGACAGCGUGUGCACAAUUCAGAAUACUAAUUCUGCACAGAUGUAAGUGAUUUUCCUAGUGAGUAAAUAGUUUCCUUUUUUUACCAAAUAAAAAACAUGGCCAGGUGUGGUGGCACACAUCUUUUUUUAGUCCCCGGUAUUCAGGAGGCAGAGACAGGCAGACAGCUGUGAAUUCAAGGCCAGCUUGGUCUAUAUAGUGAGUUCCAGGUCAGCCUGGGCUACAGUGAGUCCUUGUGUAAAGGGUGUGUGUGUAAAAAUAAGAAGAAG
rnacentral:lncRNA from 1 species